AGUGGAAGCUGUGGCGUCAAGCCUGUAGACAAAGGAGAAAAUACCUUUUGUCUGCAGAAGGCAGUGAUCCUACAUGAACAUGGAAGUCUCUGUCUGAUUUAGGACAGCUGGCUAAGUCUGAUCGUUCCCCUCCAUACACU